GAUGAACGCUGGCGGCGUGCCUAAUACAUGCAAGUCGAGCGAAUGGAUUAAGAGCUUGCUCUUAUGAAGUUAGCGGCGGACGGGUGAGUAACACGUGGGUAACCUGCCCAUAAGACUGGGAUAACUCCGGGAAACCGGGGCUAAUACCGGAUAACAUUUUGAACCGCAUGGUUCGAAAUUGAAAGGCGGCUUCGGCUGUCACUUAUGGAUGGACCCGCGUCGCAUUAGCUAGUUGGUGAGGUAACGGCUCACCAAGGCAACGAUGCGUAGCCGACCUGAGGGGGUGAUCGGCCAAACUGGGACUGAGACACGGCCCAGACUCCUACGGGAGGCAGCAGUAGGGAAUCUUCAGCAAUGGACGAAAGUCUGACGGAGCAACGCCGCGUGAGUGAUGAAGGCUUUCGGGUCGUAAAACUCUGCUGUUAGGGAAGAACAAGUGCUAGUUGAAUAAGCUGGCACCUUGACGGUACCUAACCAGAAAGCCACGGCUAACUACGUGCCAGCAGCCGCCGUAA
rnacentral:rRNA from 1 species